rnacentral:lncRNA from 1 species
GGACCAAGAUCGAGUUGUCAAGUCACGAGAAACUCCUACGAAAGAUCCUAGACGAACAGAUCUGAAAUCAAAAACAAAGAUUAAGAUUAAACCGAAUCAGAUUUGAAUUUAAAAUUCCCAAAUUCAAUUAAAAGAGCAACAAGAAGAAAAGAAAUAGAAUCGAUGAAUCAAACGAAAUUGAGAAGAAAGAAAAGAUGCGAAUCUGCCAAGGAAUUGAUUCGGCCAAGAAUGCCCAAUUUCCAGCAAUCAAUUGAUUCCCAAAUUGAAAGAAAUCCAAUCGGCCAAACCCUAGGAAUUGGGGAUUUUUGGGUUCGAAUGGGUGCUGCCAAUAGGAGAACAACUUAAACGAUGAGAUCUUGAGUUUAAUCAAUGCUGGAAAACAAACAAGAACAGCAAAAUAUUAGAUGAGAAAUCGGCACAAGUAUAAGCAAAGAAAAGUAAAGAAAGAAAUCGAAAACAGCAAGAAUUAAAUGAUAAGUCCUAAAGAUCCUUGAAAUCCCGAAAGAUUUCACAAAUCUCUUCAAACGGCUCUAAUCUCCUCUCCAAAGAAUAUCGAUGGCAAGAAGAAGGUUGAAGAUGGCUCCCACAAUCAAAAGAUUGUCAAAACAACUUCUAAAGAAAACUCAAGAGAGAAUUCUUGGAGAAAACCCCAAAGAAAAUUCUGCACUCAACAAAUCUGAAAUUUGAUAGAAAAAAUAAUAAUAAGAUGUUUACAAAGGGUGGCUGGCCAAUGCUUAUAUAGGCCUCUAACAAAUCCUAAUCUAAUUAGAAAACUUAAAAGUUUAAACUUAAUUAAAAAAAACAAAGGAAAAUUCGGCCAUGCAUCCUAUUGGGCUGUUUUGGGCCGAAUUUAACAUGUGAUAUUCCUAAAACUUAAAAAUUAACUUAAACAACUAAAAUUUUUAUAAAUUGGGCCCUUUGACAUUUUGGCCUGAUUUUCAACUAAAUAUGUAUGGAUUUCUUGAUUGGGCUGGGAAUUUGCUUAUUGGGCCUCGCCUUUAAGAAUUUGGGCUUAUGAUCCAUCUCCUACCGAAAUUGGGUCGUUGACGCACGUAAUGGAGAUCCAACGCGCUUUGGCUGCAAGAUUCGGUUUCUUGGACCAAGAUUUCCAAGAUUUGAAAUCUUGAUUUUCUUGAUUCUUGAAAUCGCUCCGAACAGCAAAAUUGGGCCAAGAUUCGAUUUCUUGAUUUUCUAGAAAACAAGAAAGUGAAUCUUAAUUUUCUUGAUUUGAGCCCAUCACCUUCUUAAGCUUGGGUUGGGCCUUUGUGACUCGUAUCAGUGAGAGUCCACUUUACCUGUGUCUCUAUUAGGGUUUAAUAUAGUUCUGUUAUACGUUAGCUUCUGUUAUAGCAUCUGUUAUAGUUCGUUACAAAAGUAGUUAAGGAACGAUUUCUAACCUAGCAUUAAAUAUGUGUCACAUGCUUAAGUUAAACAGGUUGAAUACAUCAUUAUAUUUCUUGAAUACUCUGAAUCUUAACAUGGUAUCAAGAACAAUGUUUCUUUUGGUGUAAACAAAGUCUUUCUUCUCUUUUUCUUCGUUCUUUUUCGAUGGCCACAGAUGCUAUUCCAGACGAAGCACAAGUACCUGAGACACUGCGUCACUCCUCUAACACUAGGGAGGCUGCACAUUCACAAGGAAAUGGCAUGGUUUAUGCGUCGACAGUUCAUUAUUUCUCCAAGCAUGACACCAUAAAACUGUCCUCACAUAACUUUCUUUUAUGAAAACAUGAACUUUUGUUGAUUCUUGAAGGUUAUGGUCUUGAAGGGUUUGUUCUCGAUACUAUUUCUUCUCCUCCUAUUUUUGUUAUUGGUUCUGAUGGUCAACAAGUUAAAAAUCCAGCCUCUGUUGUUCAUAGGAAGCAAGAUAAAUUUCUCGCUUCCUGGCUGCUAUCAAUUGUUACAGACGAUAUAUUAGUUCAUCUUACUAAUGCUAAAACUAGUUGUGCUAUAUGGAACACCAUUGAAAAAAGAUUUAGCGCAAAGUCCACUCUAAAGAUCUCGAGCAUGCGUCAUGCGUUAUAUUCCCUAAAGAAAACAAAUAUUUCUGUUAAAGAUUAUGUGGCUAAGGUGAAACAACUUAGUGAUGACUUAACUGCUGCUGGUAGUCCUAUCUCUGAGCAAGAACAGAUAAGUGUCAUCUUAGCUGGCUUAUCGAUUGAUUUUGAGUCUGUUCGGGUGUUUGCCUCUGUUACUCCUCUUUCUCUUGACUUGUUAACUGAAAUGUUACUCGACUGUGAAUCUCAUCAAUUGGAGUUGUCUACAGAAGUUCCUUGUUAAGCAAAUUUGGCAACUCGACAAGCUGAUAGUGAGGUUGUUUUGAAGCAGUCUUCUGAGCCUUCAAGCUAUUCUCAGGGGUCGAAACAAAACUAUAGAGCACAGGGUCGCGGUUUCUCUCGGGGGCGAUUUCGUGGUAAUGGCCGAGGUUGGUCUCGUAGUAAGCCACAGUGCCAAUUGUGUGGUAAGGUGGGGCACCUGGUUCAAACUUGUUUUCACAGAUUUGAUGAAAGUUUUUCAGGUGUUGCAGAGUCGAAUUCAGUACAGGUUAACUGUCAUCAACUGGAUGGAUCUGAUUGUUCUUCCUCGGUUCCCGCUUGUCAAACCGUAUCACAUUGAUGUGGUUCCUCUAGUCACUUGAAUGUUCGACCGUCAAUGACUUCACAGUCAGAGUCUGUUUGGUAUCCUGAUUCGGGUGCCAUAUCACACCGGAAGUGUCUAAUCUCACUACUGCCUCUCCGUAUACAGGUACGAAUCAUGUUACUAUGGGUAACGGUGCACCUGUUUCAAUUGCUAAUGUAGGCUCGUCCUCUCUCUUAACUGGGACAAGACUUCUCCGGCUUCAGAAUGUUUUACACGUUCCUGUAGUCUGCAAGAACUUGAUGUCUGUUGCGCAAUUUGCAAAGGAUAAUGGUGUUUAUUUUGAAUUUCACCAGUCUUGUGCUUUACGAAGGACAUCCAGGCAGGGAUGACGCUACUCGAGGGCCACAUGCAAGAAGAUUUAUACUGGUUCCAAUUCACCAAGCCCACUCUUGUUGCUGCUCCGUCUACUUCGAACCCCAGUUCUGCUUUAGUGAACAGUGUUCAGCUGUCUUCUUCUACGUUGUGGCACGAUAGACUUGGCCAUCAUUGUAAUGGCAUUUUGGCUCGUGUGUUAAGAUCCUGUAGUGCUCCUUUUAAACAAAAUACUUUGAGUCACGUUUGUACAGCUUGUCAAAUAGGAAAAGCUCAAAAGCUUCCUUUUUCUGCUUCAAACACUUUGUAUUCGGUUCCCUUUGCACUUGUGGUAUCCGAUGUAUGGGGUCCUGCACAUUUACCUUCAAAUGUAUUUCGUUACUAUGUCUCAUUUGUUGACGUGUAUAGUCGAUAUACCUGGCUCUAUUUUCUCAAAAAUAAGUCCGACGUGGCUCAGUGUUUCUUGGAUUUUCAUCAGAUGGUAAGAGUACAAUUUGGCUAUUCUAUUAAGAGUGUCCAAACUGAUGGGGGAGGUGAAUAUCGUGAUUUGUCUUUGCUCUUGUCUCAGCUUGGAGUUUAGCACAGGGUUACUUGAUUGUAUACCUCGGAACAAAAUGGUGUUGCCGAGAGGAAACAUCGUCAGAUAGUUGACAUGGGGCUUUCGCUAUUAGCACGGGCCAGUAUUCCUCUAAAGUUUUGGUUCUAUGCCUUUGUGCAUGUUGUUUAUCUAAUUAACAGGCUUCCUACUCUUGUUUUGGGUCAUUCUAGUCCUUAUGAAGUGCUUUACAGAGUUAAACCAGACUAUAGCUCACUUAAGGUGUUUGGAUACUCUUGCUUCCCUGAUCUUCGACCUUUUCAACGUCAUAAGUUGAGUUUUAGGUUACAACAGUGUGUUUUUAUUGGGACGGUACCUCACACUAAAGGCUAUAGGUGUCUCGCUGCGGAUGGCCGAUUGUUUUUAUCGCGGCAUGUUAAGUUUGAUGAAAGUAAGUUUCCUUACCGUGAUGGUUUCAGCAAUGAGCUUCCAACAGAUGGUAUAGGAGGACAUCGCUGUGCUUCUGUUCUUCCGUUAGUCACGCCUCAUACUUCUGGUGUGAUCACCUCAGCACAAACACUCUUGCGUUCGAACAGACACACUAGCCUGGGAUCUAUUUCAGCUCAGUCACGUCUCAGUCAGCCUUCUGUUAGUACUUCAGCUACCCCAACUACAGGAAAUUCUUCUAAUCAGCUGAAUUUACAUCAGCCAUCUCCUAGUACUUCUAUUGACCCUAUUACAGUAGUUUCUAUUGACCCUAUUACAGUAGUUGAGGAGUCUACUGUUGGUAGUCCGAUUGACCAACCUGUAGCAGCUUCAUCAUCUCCAGUACCUUCAGAUUGUCACCCUAUGCAAACUCGCUCCAAAAGUGGCAUAUUUCGACCGAAGGAUUUUUCCUCUGUCUUGGAUGAGACCGAGCCUUUAACCAUCACAGAAGCCUUUCAGAGUCCUACCUGAAUUGCAGUAGCCAACGAUGAGUACAGUGCGUUGAUUGCUAACCACACAUGAGACCUUGUCUCCUUACCAGCAGGUCGUCGUGCGGUUGGUUGUAAAUGGAUUUUCUAGAUUAAGAGACAUGCAGAUGGGACCAUUGCUCGGUACAAUGGCAGGUUAGUUGUUAAAGGAUAUUUGCAAGAGGCUGGGGUGGAUUUUUAGGAAACAUUCAGUCCUGUUGUCAAACCAACCUCUAUCAGAGUAAUUCUAGCAUUGGUCGUGUCUCUCAACUGGCCUCUUCGGCAACUGGAUAUAAACAAUGCGUUCUUAAAUGGGGAUUUAAGCGAGGACAUCUACAUGGUCCAACCACCAAGUUUUGAACAAUGUGGCUCGAAUGGUGAACUUCUGGUCUGUAAGUUAAAGAAGGCUCUAUAUGGUCUCAAGCAAGCCCCUAGAGCUUGGUUUCAGAAGCUAAGGGAAUUUUUGGUUUCCAUGGAAUUUGAGGUGUCCAAGGCUGAUGGCUAUCUCUUUAUCCUUCGAUCAGGUGAACAAUUGUUGUAUGUUCUAGUUUAUGUUGAUGGCAUUAUUGUCAUUGGCAAUGAUUCUCAGGCUGUGAUCAGUUUGUCACUCAACUCAAUGCUCGAUUUUCUUUAAAGGACCUAGGAAAACUCAACUAUUUUUUAGGCAUAGAGGUUAAAUAUACAGCAGAGGGAGUGUAUCUGUCGCAAACAAAGUACAUUCAGGACAUGCUUUGUAAGGCGUCCAUAGACCAGUCUAACUCUCUUCCUACACCGAUGGUAACAAACUGUCACCUUUCAGCCACAGAUGGAAAUCCAGUUGAAGAUGAACAUCAGUACAGGAGUAUUGUUGGCGCUUUGCAGUAUGUGGUGAUAACUAAGCCCGAUAUUGCUUACUCCGUAAAUAAGGUGUUCCAGUUCAUGCAUAAGCCAUUAGAUGUGCACUUCAAAGCAGUCAAAAGAAUAUUGCGGUAUCUACAAUGGACGAUGAAAGUUUACUCGAACCUUGAGGUUUCUUCUUGAAGGCUAUUCAGAUGCUAGUUGGGGGUCUGAUGUUGAUGACCGUAGAUCGACUUCAGGUUUUUGUGUCUUUCUUGGAGGGAAUUCGAUCUCUUGGAGCUCCAAGAAAUAGCAAGUGGUCUCCCGAUCCACUGUAGAGGCAGAAUACAGAAGUGUUACUCAUUUGGCUGCUGAGAUAAUUUGGAUUCAGUCGUUGUUAAGUGAAUUAUAUGCUCCAAUGUUGUCCAAGGCCUUAAUCUGUGUGACAGUUCAGCAGCCGUAGCAGUAGCUGGAAACUCUGUUAUGCAUUCAAAAUUCAAACAUGUAGAGUUGGAUAUGUUUUUUGUCAGAGAAAAGGUGGCAGCCGGGGUCCUCCAGGUUGGGCAUGUUCCAGGAUCUCACCAGAUAGCAGACAUACUAACGAAACCGUUGUCUUUGUCUGUGUUAAAUAAGUUUCGAGGGCAGCUCCGAGUUGUGGACAUGACUUAACAGGAGUUUGUUUAGCAAGAUGUUAGAUAAGUAUGGGGAAUAUUAGGGUUUAAUAUAGUUCUGUUAUAUGUUAGCUUAUGUUAUAGCAUCUGUUAUAGUUCAUUACAAAAGUAGUUAAGGAACGGUUUCUAACCUAGCAUUAAAUAUGUGUAACAUGCUUGAGUUAAACAGGUUGAAUACAUCAUUCUAUUUCUUGAAUAAUCUGAAUCUUAACAGUCUCUAUCCAUUCUUUUCAAUAAAUAUAUUUAUUUAAAUAUUUUUUAUUAUUUAAAAAGCUUUCAUGCAUGUUUGUUACCCUAGCACGUCCCUGUCUGCCCUUCUGGCAAGUCUAGGUUUUCUUUUUUUUUUCAAUAGUUUUUUGGUUUGACGGCUGAGUUUUCCAGUGUUGUGAAUAAUCUUCUCUUUCUAUUCUUCACGUAUAACGACCAUGGAAUCUGACUUUACAGCUCUAUCCUUUGAUGACGAAGAGGAAGAUAUCCUGCAAGUGGAAGGAGAAAUAGAAUCGGUAAGUAAAGAAGAAGAUUUAAGUCUAGUUGGGUGUUUCCUUACUGCCAGUAUCAUCCAUUACCCAGCAAUGAAAAGUACUAUGGCUAAUUUAUUGCAUCCAAUCAAGGGGGUUCAAAUUAGAGAUUUGGGGGAAAGAGAUGUAUUUUUAAAUUUUUUCACAUUAUGGAUAUGGAGAAAGUUAUUAAAGGGUCUUUUUGGACAUUUAAUAACCAUCUGCUGAUUCUGCAUAAGUUGCAAUGGGGAGAGGACCCACUCAGGAUUCUAUUAAUUUCAUCACCUUUUUGGGUACAAGUUCAUGAGGUUCCUAUUGAUUUUUACUCUGAAAGUUUAGCCAUGCAAUUAAUAAAUUUUAUUAAUACUUUCCAGGAGUAUGAUAGUUCUAGUUUGGGGAAAGAAAAUAUGAAUUAUAUGCGGAUUAGAGUACACAUUGAUAUUUGUCGCCCUCUCAAAAGGAAAAAACAGAUUAAGUUUAAGAAUAUGUGUUCUUAUGUCAGAUUUAAGUAUGAGAGAUUAACUCUCUUUUGCUUCUUCUGUGGCCGGUUAGGGCAUAACGAUUCCUUUUGCAAAGCAAAAAUAGAAGCUGGGGUUGAAAUAGAAGAAAUAGGAUAGGAUCUAUCUUUGCGGGCACAGUCAAGGAGAGCCCAAGCAAUGCGUAGUGCCUGGUUAAGAGAGGAGGGAGGAUCAGUAGGCAAAAAUAAUAGAGAUGAAGUCGGGAGUGAUAGAGAUUGAAGGAAAAUGGGAAAAAUUGAGAAUAUUCUGGAUCCAAUUCUAGGUUUUAAUCUGGAAGGUAACGGGCUUUACGCAGAGUUAGGAAGUUCAAGGAAGCUAAUUGGUAAUAAUAACAUAGAGAUGGAGCAUGAUUUGAAGAAUGAGCUGAUUGUAGGAGAGGAGGGGAAAAAGAGGAUUAGAGGGGAAAUGGAAGAAAGUAUGGAGGCGGGAAGGAGGAAUAGGAGAAGGGCUAAAUCUAACCAUUUGUUAUCGACAGCUGCCAAGAGGCAAGCCGACCGGUCGCAAUGAAAAUCUUAAGCUGGAAUGUCCGAAGGUUAGGGAAUCCUCGGACAGUUCGACGACUUCGGCAUUCGCUGAAGCAACAUCAUCCCCAAGUGGUCUUAUUAAUGGAGACAAAAUUAAACAAAAAUAAAAUGGAAAAAGUUCGAAGAAGGUGUGGGUUUCAACUUGGCAUUGAUGUUGACUCGAUUGGAUCGAAAGGUGGGCUAAAUUUGGCAUGGCAAGAAAAUGUUAAUAUUAAACUACAAAGCUUUUCAAACUGACAUAUUGAUGUGUUUAUUGAGGAAGGAGAGGACAGGAAAAUAUGGAGACUUACAGGUUUUUAUGGAUCCCCUUAUUCACAAGACAGGGAUGCAACAUGGAAUCUGUUGAGACAAUUACGGAAUCAGAGAGAAUACCCUUGGCUGGUUUGCGGGGAUUUUAAUGAAAUCUUAUAUGGUUUCGAAAAGAAAGGUGGAUUACCUAGGGAGGAAAGAAGAAUAGAGGCAUUUAGACAAGUUCUAGAAGAUUGUAAUCUGGUUGAUUUGGGAUAUUCUGGCAGAUGGUUCACAUGGGAGAGAGGGAACUUAAUUGAAACAAAUAUUCAGGAGAGACUUGACAGAGGUGUUGCAACGGAGCAAUGGAGCGACUUAUUCUCAAACAAUCUGGUACGACAUCUUUCACAUUCAUUCUCGGACCAUUGUCCAAUUCUUUUAUAUACGGCUUACAAGAAUAGAGAGAGGGCAAGAAAAAACUUCAAGUUUGAAGCGUGGUAGGUACUAGAAGAAACAUUCUUUAGUGAAACUAAAAGAAUUUGGGAAAAUUCUACAGGAUAUCUUAUAAACAAGCUGGAGAUCCUCAAAAAAGGGUUAGAGAAGUGGGGAGUGAAAAUCAAACAGAAUAGGAAAAUGAAAACAGAAGGUUUGACUUCAAAACUGAUAGCAUUACUUGAAGAAGACAGAAGUGAUGAGAAUCUGGCAAAGAUUAUUGAUACAAAAAUCCAUCUGAACUUUGAGAUUGAAAAAGACGAGAGUUACUGGGAACAGAGGGCCCGAAUUAAUUGGCUUAAGCUAGGGGACAGAUACAUAAAUUACAGUCAGAAGACGAAAGGGAAACAGAUGAGUGGAAGGAAAAGGAGGAAAUUGCUAGAUUGUAUUUUCAAAAAUUAUUUAAUACAGGAGGACAAAAUCAUUGCGAUAGAAUCCUAACAGGUAUUGAAGGCCGUAUCACAGAAGAAGACAAUAAUACUUUAAAGGCAAGAUACACAAAGGAAGAGAUACUGGAAGCGCUUUCAGGAAUAGGACCUACAAAAGCUCCAGGAGAUGACAGUUUUCCAGCCCUGUUUUAUCAAAAGUGUUUGCCAAUUGUUGGAGAGGAUGUAACCAAUUUUUGUCUUCAUAGGUUAAACGAAGGUAUGGAUUUACAUUCAAUCAAUAAAACAAACAUUGUGCUUAUUUCAAAAGUCUUGAAUCCCUCAAGGAUUACUCAGUUUUGACCAAUUAGUUUAUGCAAUGUGAUUUACAAGCUGAUAGCGAAAGUUAUUGCUAGACGACUCAGAGGAGUAAUGCAUAAAUGUAUAGAUUUAGCUCAAAGCGCUUUUGUCCCAAGAAGGCUGAUUUCAGAUAAUGUUUUACUUGCGUAUGAAAUCUUACAUACUCUAAAACUCAAGAGGGUGGGGAAAAGAGGAUUCAUGGCUGUCAAACUUGAUAUGAGUAAAACAUACGAUAGAGUCGAAUGGGGCUUUGUGGAAGGGGUAAUGAAAAAGUUGGGUUUUGAUCUAGGAUGGGUUGUUUCAAUUUUGAAAUGUGUCUCGACGGUCUCUUAUGAGGUGAUUAUCAAUGGCAACAGAGGGCAAACGAUAAUUCCAUCUAGAGGAAUCAGACAAGGUGACCCUCUCAGUCUGUUCUUAUUUCUGUUCUGUGCAGAAGGUAUAUCGAGUUUAAUGCGACUUGCAAAAAAAGAAAGCAUCCUUAGAGGAGUUAAAGCAAGUCAAAGAGGACCAGCUAUCUCACAUUUACUCUUUGCCGAUGAUUGUAUUUUAUUUGCAGAAGCUUCAGAAAGGGGGGCACAUGCUUUAAAACAGAUUCUAAAGGAAUAUGAAUUGAGCUCAAGGCAAUGUGUGAAUUAUGAAAAAUCGGCUGUUUUCUUCAGUACAAACACAGAAGAGCAUGUAAGGGGUAAUGUCUCGAUGAUCCUAGGAGUUGGAAGAGCGAAUGAUAUAGAGAGAUACCUAGGGCUUCCUAGUAUGGUGGAAAAAAGAAAGAAAAUAUCUUUUCAAAGUUUGAAAGACAGACUCAAACAAAGGAUUGAUAAUUUGAGCACAAGGUUUCUAUCUCAAGGAGGCAAGGAAGUUUUUAUUAAAGCGAUCUUACAAGCUAUCCCAAUGUAUUCAAUGUCGUGUUUUCUACUCCCUAAGACCCUAUGUACGGAUCUGGAAAGAAUUGUUGCUAAUUUCUGGUGGCGUAAGAAAUGGAAUAAAAAGAGUAUCCAUUGGUGUACCUGGGAGAAUCUUUGCUUAUUAAAAGAAAAUGGUGGUCUUGGUUUCCGAAAUUUUACGAAGUUUAAUAUUGCUUUAUUAGCGAAACAGGGUUGGCGUCUUGUUAAUUACCUAAAUUCAUUAUUAGCUCGUGUUUUGAAAUCAAAGUAUUAUCCCAAUUUAGAUUUCUUGAAAGCUCGGCUAGGAAAUUUACCCUCACUUACCUGGAGAAGUGUUUGGUCUGCGAAAGGUCUGCUUGAAAAAGGUCUAUGCUGGAGAGUGGGUCGAGGUGAUAGGAUUUCCAUCUAUGAUGAUCUGUGGUUACCAGGAAAAGAAAUGGCUAGAAUACCGAAUCAAGAAGUGAAUGGUAAUUUUGAAUUUGUCUCAGAGUUGAUUGAACCAAGUAACAGAGAGUGGAAAACAGAGGUAAUAAAGGAUACCUUCAAACCAGCUGUAGCGGAGAAAAUAUUGAGGAUCCCAUUGGCGGAGACAGAACAUGAAGAUCUUCAAGUUUGGAAAGGGGAGUCGACCGGAGAAUUUUCAGUUAGGAGCGCCUAUAAACUAUUACAUGAGUUGACUUUGGAUCCUAAUGAGUUAUUUUUACAUACCGAAACUAUAAACUUUUACAGGAAACUAUGGACAUUACAAAUUCCAUCGAAAAUCAAAAUGACUAUAUGGAGGAUUUCAUGGAACUAUAUCCCAUCUUUUCUCAAUCUCAAAAUAAAGCGGGUUUUGGUGAAUACUAAAUGUCCCAGAUGUGAGUCUGAAGAAGAAAGCAGUCGCCAUAUUUUCCAACAGUGCCCUGCAGCGAUUGAGGUCUGGUAUCAUCUUAACCUUUCGUGGAUACUGAACUACAAUAAUGAGGAUUUAUGGAGAUGGCUCACUGGAAUCUUUGGUCAAGGAAACGAGGAGCAGUUGCGACUAUUCUGCUGUGGACUAUGGUAUAUCUGGUUCAGUAGAAAUCAACUCAUUUAUGGAAAAAAACAAAUGUCAGGAUUAGAAAUAGCAAGGAAAAUUAGAAACUAUUUAACAGAACUCGAAGCAGCAAAAAAAGAUAAACCUACCUUCCAUACUUCUGACUGUUAUCAACAAGUUUUCAAAAGGGGAUGGGCAACAGUUCAUUUUGAUGCAGCGUUUGAUAGUCAGACGUUCAGAUCGGCAUCGGGGUUAAUAGUUUGGAAUGGGGAAGGGGAAAUCCUUGCGUCUUUAGCAGUUCUCCACUCCAACAUCGAAGAUUCAUUCACAGCGGAGGCUCAUGCAGGAUUACAAGCAAUCACUCUAGGUAUUAAUUUGGGAAUCAACAAAAUGGAGAUAAUGGGUGAUGCAAAAAUAGUUAUCAAAAAGUGUAAAAGUUCCAUUACAGAUAGAUCGGUCAUUGGAGCAAUAAUCAGAGAUAUUCGGAACCGGAAAAAUUGUUACCAGGAGAUUAAGUUUUCUUUUAUUCCAAAAGCAAAAAACAUCUAUGCUCACACUAUUGCAACGGAGGCUCUUAAGAGAAGCGAAAGUUUUUACCUGGAGAAGGGAGUCCCAGAGACAGUCAGUCGAGUGCUGGAGAGGCACGAAUUGAAACCUCCUGAUUGAAGAAAUGAAAGGUUCUUAUGCAAUAAAGGAUAGCAGAGUAAAAGAAGCAUUAGAACCUGCUAUCAUUAAAGCUGGUGGGUGGCUCUAAACGGAAAUGACAAAGUGAUGUCCAGCUAUAUUGAUUUGACUGGGUUUGGAUAAGCACGAGUUUUAUUUUAUUUUGUUUAUUUAUUAGGCCCAAUUUGUUUCUGGAUAAGCAUGAGUUUUAUUUUACUUUAUUUUGUUUAUUUAUUAGGCCCAAUUUGUUUCUUUGUUUCCAG